GAUGAACGCUGGCGGCGUGCCUAAUACAUGCAAGUCGAGCGAACGGACGAGAAGCUUGCUUCUCUGAUGUUAGCGGCGGACGGGUGAGUAACACGUGUAUAACCUACCUAUAAGACUGGGAUAACUUCGGGAAACCGGAGCUAAUACCGGAUGAUAUUUUGAACCGCAUGGUUCAAAAGUGAAAGACGGUCUUGCUGUCACUUAUAGAUGGAUCCGCGCUGCAUUAGCUAGUUGGUAAGGUAACGGCUUACCAAGGCAACGAUGCAUAGCCGACCUGAGAGGGUGAUCGGCCACACGGGAACUGAGACACGGUCCAGACUCCUACGGGAGGCAGCAGUAGGGAAUCUUACGCAAUGGGCGAAAGCCUGACGGAGCAACGCCGCGUGAGUGAUGAAGGUCUUCGGAUCGUAAAACUCUGUUAUUAGGGAAGAACAGAUGUGUAAGUAACUGUGCACAUCUUGACGGUACCUAAUCAGAAAGCCACGGCUAACUACGUG
rnacentral:rRNA from 1 species